GAUUAAGUUAUUAAGGGCGCACGGUGGAUGCCUUGGCACUAGAAGCCGAUGAAGGACGUUACUAACGACGAUAUGCUUUGGGGAGCUGUAAGUAAGCUUUGAUCCAGAGAUUUCCGAAUGGGGAAACCCAGCAUGAGUUAUGUCAUGUUAUCGAUAUGUGAAUUACAUAGCAUAUCAGAAGGCACACCCG
rnacentral:rRNA from 1 species